GCCCAACACAUAGCCUAAACCCAAACCCCAACACCAACCCCCGCUAACUAAAACAUUCGCCACGCCAAGUAUAGGAGAUAGAACAGCCCCACUAGCGCUAUAGCACACAGUACCGCAAGGGAACCAUGAAAGAUCAUUAAACAAACAAGCACAGAACAGCAGGACUCAACCCCCGUACCUUUUGCAUCAUGGUUUAGCCAGAAAACAGCAGAUAAAGCGACCUAACACCUGCCACCCCGAAACCAGGCGAGCUACCUAAGAGCAACUAAUAGAGUGCACCCGUCCCUGUAGCAAAAGAGUGGGAUGACUUUUAGGUAGAGGUGAGACACCUACCGAGCUUGGCGAUAGCUGGUUACUCAGUAAAGGAAUAUUAGUUCUACUCUAGCCCCAACCACCCUGACCAACUAACCACACAUGUCAACGCUAGAAGCUAUAUAAUGGGGGACCAGCCCCAUUAUAACUGAAAACACCCAGAAUUAGAGAGAAAACCACCCACCAACAAACCCCUGUAGGCUUUAAAGCAGCCAUCAACAAGCAAAGCGUCAAAGCUGAUACCACAAAAAUCCACCGGGCCCUCACCUUCUCCUAAUAUCAAACUGAGUCACUCUGUAACAAACCAGAGGAGACAAUGCUAAAACUAGUAAUUUUUGGAACCCUCCACUUACAGCAUAGCCCCAUAAAUAGCUAACGGAACUACCAACUAACCCACAACCCAAGCCCACUUAUAACACAAACCGUACACCCAACACAGGCAUGCAAAACAAGUAUAUUCCACAGCCCUAAAAGGAACUCGGCUAAGCGUGCUCCACCUGUUUACCAAAAACAUCGCCUUUAGCCUACCAAGUAUUAAAGGUCUCGCCUGCCCAGUGAAACAUAUUUUAACGGCCGCGGUAUCCUAACCGUGCAAAGGUAGCGUAAUCACUUGCCCCCUAAUUAGGGGCCUGUAUGAAUGGCCAACUGAGAGCACCCCUGUCUUUUAGAGCAAAAUAAUGAAACUGAUCUCCCAGUACAAAAGCUGGGAUCCACCCAUAAGACGAGAAGACCCCGUGGAGCUUUAAAUAAACCUGCUACCUCACCCCUAGCAGCACCUUUUAGUUGGGGCAACUAUGGAGCAAAACAAAAUCUCCACGUAAAACUUACCACCACAACAGGCCCACAAGCCACCAAGCAACCUUGACCCAGUACAACUGAUCAACGAACCAAGUUACCCCGGGGAUAACAGCGCUAUCCUCUUUAAGAGCCCCUAUCGCCAAGAGGGCUUACGACCUCGAUGUUGGAUCAGGACACCCCAGUGGCGCAGCCGCUACUAAAGGUCUGUUUGUUCAACAGUUAAAGUCCUACGUGAUCUGAGUUCAGACCGGAGAAAUCCAGGUCGGUUUCUAUCUAUGACUGCAACUUCUUUAGUACGAAAGGACCAAGAAGACCGUGCCAAUAUUACUUACACGCACUAACCAAGCCCCCUGCAUACAAAUAAAAGACCACGCAGACCAAACGAGCCCUAAAACAGGGCCAAC
rnacentral:rRNA from 1 species